GCUGGCUUAGCUCAGUUGGUAGAGCACCGGUUUUGUAAACCGGCGGUCGUAGGUUCAAGUCCUAUAGCCAGCUCCA
rnacentral:tRNA from 1 species